UACGAAGGGGGCUAGCGUUGCUCGGAAUCACUGGGCGUAAAGGGUGCGUAGGCGGGUCUUUAAGUCAGGGGUGAAAUCCUGGAGCUCAACUCCAGAACUGCCUUUGAUACUGAAGAUCUUGAGUUCGGGAGAGGUGAGUGGAACUGCGAGUGUAGAGGUGAAAUUCGUAGAUAUUCGCAAGAACACCAGUGGCGAAGGCGGCUCACUGGCCCGAUACUGACGCUGAGGCACGAAAGCAUGG
rnacentral:rRNA from 1 species